GUGUCAGCCGCCGCGGUAAUACGGGGGGGGCGAGCGUUGUUCGGAAUUACUGGGCGUAAAGGGCGCGUAGGCGGCUUCGGAAGUCCUGGGUGAAAGCCCCCGGCUCAACCGGGGAAGGUCUCAGGAAACCACGGAGCUAGAGUGCUGGAGAGGGAAGCGGAAUUCCCGGGGGAGCGGUGAAAAGCGUAGAGAUCGGGAGGAACACCGGAGGCGAAGGCGGCUUCCUGGACAGACACUGACGCUGAGGGACGAAAGCCAGGGGAGCGAACCGGAUUAGAUACCCGGGUAGUCCUGGCCGUAAACGAUGGAUGCUAGAUGUGGGCGGGGAGACCCGUCCGUGUCGCAAGCUAACGCGUUAAGCAUCCCGCCUGGGGAGUACGGCCGCAAGGUUGAAACUUAAAUGAAUUGACGGGG
rnacentral:rRNA from 1 species